rnacentral:rRNA from 1 species
UAGGGAAUCUUCCACAAUGGACGCAAGUCUGAUGGAGCAACGCCGCGUGAGUGAAGAAGGUUUUCGGACCGUAAAGCUCUGUUGUUGGUGAAGAAGGAUAGAGGUAGUAACUGGCCUUUAUUUGACGGUAAUCAACCAGAAAGUCACGGCUAACUACGUGCCAGCAGCCGCGGUAAUACGUAGGUGGCAAGCGUUGUCCGGAUUUAUUGGGCGUAAAGCGAGCGCAGGCGGAAGAAUAAGUCUGAUGUGAAAGCCCUCGGCUUAACCGAGGAAUUGCAUCGGAAACUGUUUUUCUUGAGUGCAGAAGAGGAGAGUAGAACUCCAUGUGUAGCGGUGGAAUGCGUAGAUAUAUGGAAGAAUACCAGUGGCGAAGGCGGCUCUCUGGUCUGCAACUGACGCUGAGGCUCGAAAGCAUGGGUAGCGAACAGGAUUAGAUACCCUUGGUAGUCCAUGCCGUAAACGAUGAGUGCUAAGUGUUGGGAGGCUUCCGCCUCUCAGUGCUGCAGCUAACGCAUUAAGCACUCCGCUUGGGGGAGUACGACCGCAAGGUUGAAAC